GGACGAACGCUGGCGGCGUGCUUAACACAUGCAAGUCGAGCGGUAAGGCCCUUUCGGGGGUACACGAGCGGCGAACGGGUGAGUAACACGUGGGUGACCUGCCCUCAGCUCUGGGAUAAGCCUGGGAAGCUGGGUCUAAAUCUGGAUAUGACUCCAGGUGCAUGUCGUGGGGGUGGAAAGCCUUGUGCGGCUGAGGAUGGGCCCGCGGCCUAUCAGCUUGUUGGUGGGGUGAUGG
rnacentral:rRNA from 1 species